AACGCGAAGAACCUUACCAGGUCUUGACAUCCCUCUGAAUCCUCUAGAGAUAGAGGCGACCUUCGGGACAGAGGAGACAGGUGGUGCAUGGUUGUCGUCAGCUCGUGUCGUGAGAUGUUGGGUUAAGUCCCGCAACGAGCGCAACCCUUGAUCUUAGUUGCCAGCAUGUUAUGGUGGGCACUCUAGGAUGACUGCCGGUGACAAACCGGAGGAAGGUGGGGAUGACGUCAAAUCAUCAUGCCCCUUAUGACCUGGGCUACACACGUACUACAAUGGUCGGUACAACGGGAAGCGAAGCCGCGAGGUGGAGCCAAUCCUUAUAAGCCGAUCUCAGUUCGGAUUGCAGGCUGCAACUCGCCUGCAUGAAGUCGGAAUUGCUAGUAAUCGCGGAUCAGCAUGCCGCGGUGAAUACGUUCCCGGGCCUUGUACACACCGACGCAC
rnacentral:rRNA from 1 species